rnacentral:sRNA from 1 species
AAUUAAACCUGACAGGAGCGGGCAUGCGGCCGAAUUUUUAUGAGGCAAAUAAAGCAGAUGGCAGGGCAGGAG